rnacentral:lncRNA from 1 species
AGGAUUUCAGUUCUACUGUUAAAUCACUGAAAAGCAGGCAUUCUGAAGAAAGAGCAGGAGUCAGCACAUCUUAGCUGAGGCUUGGAACCCAGUCUUCGGAAUUAAAUGGCUAGCUUCUUAAAACCCUGCCACAAGCAACAGUGCCAGUGUAAAGAUGCCAUGAGAGUGUGAGAGCUGGAGGAUGGGAAAGAAUGCUGUGAAAUGCUCUCUUCUGAACAUGCUACACCUACCACACCCAUGAACUCACUCAUGAACUCAGCAGCCGGGAAGACCAGCACAAGACCUACACAUGAACAAGCCAGUCAAACUUCCAGCACAGGCAGGAUGGUGGACUGCCACACCCCACCCCUUACUGAGAAGGCAAUGGCAGCUCAUACUUGCUAGGGGUGGGGAUAAUCUUUUUCAUGUGGAUGUGGUCAUGGGUAGACUCUCCUUGUUCCCAGAGAAGAUUCCACACUCACGCCUAUAGAAACAGCAUUAACUGGACUUUGUGAGCUAUAAAAAAUUAAAAAGGAAUAACAAAAAAAAACAGAUAAAGUUGGGAUAGAAAUGUGUUGAAGAGGAUAUGGGCAGAGUUGGAGGAGGUAAUAGAGGGUAAAUAUGACAUAUUUCAUUGUAUGUUUAUAUAAAAUUCUCAACAACAAACAAUUUUUUUAAGACUUAACGUUUCUGCCAGACUUUGUCGACUCCUCAUGGAAGGCCUUACCCAGUUGGGAGGAGUGGAUGGGGGGUGGACUUGGGGGGAAGCAAGGGGGAUGGGAGAAGGGGUGGAGGGAGAACUGUGGUUAGAUUGUAAAACAAAAUUUAAAAAAUAAAUGAUUAAAGACUUAACAUUUCAGAGAAAUUCUAAAACUGACCUGAGGGAAACCUCAAGCUUUUAGUUUUCUCAC